rnacentral:tRNA from 1 species
AAGGGUUUAGCUUAAUUAAAGUGGCUGGUCUGCGUCCAGUUGAUGUAAGAAUAGGGUCUUGCAGCCCUUA